rnacentral:rRNA from 1 species
CAGUCGCCGCGGGAAUACGGAGGGUGCAAGCGUUAAUCGGAAUUACUGGGCGUAAAGCGUGCGUAGGUGGUGGUUUAAGUCCGUUGUGAAAGCCCUGGGCUCAACCUGGGAAUUGCAGUGGAUGCUGGGUCACUAGAGUGUGGUAGAGGAUAGUGGAAUUUCCGGUGUAGCAGUGAAAUGCGUAGAGAUCGGAAGGAACAUCUGUGGCGAAGGCGACUAUCUGGGCCAACACUGACACUGAGGCACGAAAGCGUGGGGAGCAAACAGGAUUAGAUACCCGCGUAGUCCCUGUCUCUUAUAC